UCUAUUUCUAAUGCUUUCUAAUAGAUAGCAGCCAUUGAAUCACUUCUUCUACUUCAUGCUUUCUUCGAAAUAGUGGCACGCUAGCGAUGAUACUCAAAAGCUGAUCAGUGAGACUUCUGUGGUUGAGAGAAACAUUAUGUGGCCUAGUGCUCAGCUUAUUCCUUUGUUUAGAUUCAUAGUCACACACUCCAGAUUGAGUAUAACCCGCCAAGCUACACCCAGAUCAAAUUGGAUCCCGUUGCUAAUCAAUCGUUUUCCUCGAUCCUAACUUGUUUGUGGAAAUCUUGGUGUUAUACACAAUAUCGAUUUUCAAUAUACAUUAGUCUUGUUGAUCUGAUCAGAUCAGAUAGUUUGAAUUGCAGGUCUAGUACUCCAUUUGGCAACACAAUAAGGAAGCUUGGUUUUUAAAUUGGUGGCGAAGAAGGUUAUGAAGCAGUCCCCGGGGUGUUAAUUGCAUGCGCUUUGGAAACCAAAAUACAACAAUACUCAGUG